rnacentral:rRNA from 1 species
CNNUGCAGUCGACGAUGAAGCCUUUCGGGGUGGAUUAGUGGCGAACGGGUGAGUANNACGUGGGCAAUCUGCCCUUCACUCUGGGACAAGCCCUGGAAACGGGGUCUAAUACCGGAUAACACUCUGUCCCGCAUGGGACGGGGUUAAAAGCUCCGGCGGUGAAGGAUGAGCCCGCGGCCUAUCAGCUUGUUGGUGGGGUGAUGGCCUACCAAGGCGACGACGGGUAGCCGGCCUGAGAGGGCGACCGGCNACACUGGGACUGAGACACGGCCCAGACUCCUACGGGAGGCAGCAGUGGGGAAUAUUGCACAAUGGNCGAAAGCCUGAUGCAGCGACGCCGCGUGAGGGAUGACGGCCUUCGGGUUGUAAACCUCUUUCAGCAGGGAAGAAGCGAAAGUGACGGUACCUGCAGAAGAAGCGCCGGCUAACUACGUGCCAGCAGCCGCGGUAAUACGUAGGGCGCAAGCGUUGUCCGGAAUUAUUGGGCGUAAAGAGCUCGUAGGCGGCUUGUCACGUCGGAUGUGAAAGCCCGGGGCUUAACCCCGGGUCUGCAUUCGAUACGGGCUAGCUAGAGUGUGGUAGGGGAGAUCGGAAUUCCUGGUGUAGCGGNGAAAUGCGCAGAUAUCAGGAGGAACACCGGUGGCGAAGGCGGAUCUCUGGGCCAUUACUGACGCUGAGGAGCGAAAGCAUGGNNAGCGAACAGGAUUAGAUACCCUGNUAGUCCACGCCGUAAACGUUGGGAACUAGGUGUUGGCGACAUUCCACNUCGUCGGNNCNNNNNCNAACGCAUUAAGUUUCCCCNNCCU